GAUGAAGAACGUAGCAAAAUGCGAUAAGUAAUGUGAAUUGCAGAAUUCAGUGAAUCAUCGAAUCUUUGAACGCACAUUGCGCCCGCCAGUAUUCUGGCGGGCAUGCCUGUUCGAGCGUCAUUUCAACCCUCAAGCUCAGCUUGGUGUUGGGACUCGCGGUAACCCGCGUUCCCCAAAUCGAUUGGCGGUCACGUCGAGCUUCCAUAGCGUAGUAAUCAUACACCUCGUUACUGGUAAUCGUCGCGGCCACGCCGUAAAACCCCAACUUCUGAAUGUUGACCUCGGAUCAGGUGGGAAUACCCGCUGAACUUAAGCAUAUCAAUAAGCGGAGGA
rnacentral:misc_RNA from 1 species